UGAGGAAUAUUGGUCAAUGGGCGAGAGCCUGAACCAGCCAAGUAGCGUGCAGGAUGACGGCCCUAUGGGUUGUAAACUGCUUUUAUGUGGGGAUAAAGUGCGUGACGUGUCAUGCAUUGCAGGUACCACAUGAAUAAGGACCGGCUAAUUCCGUGCCAGCAGCCGCGGUAAUACGGAAGGUCCGGGCGUUAUCCGGAUUUAUUGGGUUUAAAGGGAGCGUAGGCUGUCUAUUAAGCGUGUUGUGAAAUAUACCGGCUCAACCGGUGGCUUGCAGCGCGAACUGGUAGACUUGAGUAUGCAGGAAGUAGGCGGAAUUCAUGGUGUAGCGGUGAAAUGCUUAGAUAUCAUGACGAACUCCGAUUGCGCAGGCAGCUUACUGUAGCAUAACUGACGCUGAUGCUCGAAAGUGCGGGUAUCAAACAGG
rnacentral:rRNA from 1 species